rnacentral:rRNA from 1 species
UACGGAGGGGGCGAGCGUUAUUCGGAAUUAUUGGGCGUAAAGGGCGCGUAGGCGGCUUUACAAGUCAAAGGUGAAGUCCCUCGGCUCAACUGAGGAACUGCCUUUGAAACUGUAAGGCUUGAGUCCGGGAGGGGGUAGCGGAAUUCCCAGUGUAGCGGUGAAAUGCGUAGAUAUUGGGAGGAACACCAGUGGCGAAGGCGGCUACCUGGACCGGAACUGACGCUGAUGCGCGAAAGCGUGGGUAGCAAACAGG